GGGCCAUAUUCACGCUCGAAGCCCGCCAGGUAGUAUCGAGCGCCGACAAGCUUGCGAUUGCAGGCAGUGGCGGGAUUGAAGUUCUCGCCGGCCACACAUCUGCCGCGCCAUGUGGCUGGAAUAGGGCCCAGCGUCGGCUCAGACUUUUCCUUUGAAGUUUGAAUUGAUGAGACCUAAAAGCUCCGCAGAGGCUAAAGGAGAGAGGAAAGUAAGAUCGAGGAAAUAAUUUUUUACUGGAAAAUCUGAAACAAAGAUUCGAAAGUUAAGGAAAGAACUUUUUACAGGAAAAACCUGUAUCAAAGAUGCCAAUGACAACAUCAUCACCAUGUUCCAAUUGCAUUGGAGUAGUUUCAGUACUGAAAAGAGGUAGACCCAUGAAAUCCCAGCUUCUUGUUGUAUGCAGCUUUAAUGUCUUGCUUCUAAAAAUAGAUAUCACUUCUUUCA